GUUUGAUAAAGGCCUAUCCUGGCCGACAGCCCUCGCGCCUGAUGCCCCGGGUUCGAUGCCCACGUGGGAGCUGGUGAUGGACUGUCAGUGUCAGUCAGAGGGAAUAGUGAGGGGCUGUGAACCCAUAAAUAAAGCCAUGAAUCCAAAAAGCUCCUGUGUUAUGAGCUCACAGGAGAUGAGUGUUGAAGUCAGACACCAUGUCACUGGCGGUAUUCAUACAGUGUACACGAAAUACUUGUUCACUUGUUUAUUUACACUCUGCAAUGACAGACUGACACCGUUCCUUUAUUCUUCAUCGAUUUGCCAGUUUAUUUUUCUGGUGUUGAUUUUUCAUACGCCUUCUAAAGAAUUCCUGUAAUUUGGGAUGGAUUUCCUUCAUAACACUUUAUUUAUCUAAGUGUUUUGCACCCAGGGACACGGGGAACCACAGAAUCGUGUUCAACAGGUUACCCUUCGCUCACACCUGUUUUGUGACGAUAUUGUUAUAUCACGUGACUCCAGUUACGUCUUCUGGAGGCUUGAACAAAGGAAAGAACUCCACUUCCACUGGUUGUUCAGCUUUCAAUUAAUCCACUGAAAGACACAAGUGGCGCGAAAACAAAAUAUUCCUACAGCGUCCGUAUCAGUUCUGCGAGUGCAACAAUAACUAUCCUGAUUAUGUACUUUUGUGACACGACAUUAGCAUUUUUCUUUCCAGCUUAACAUACACGGCGUUCUAUUGUUUUCCGUUUUCCCCUUUUUCCCGCCUUUUCUCACUUCCUGUUCCAGAUGAAAUAACAAGUAUGAAACACGGAGGAGAAUGUUCGCGUGCAUCCAGCGCGAGCAGCACAGCACCAGGACAGCGUCCGUCCGUUCGGCCCCUUCGCCUCUUCAACACGGACAGUCGAGUGGCUGUGCGCGGGAAACGACGCCUGCUUUCACCCAGGUCCGCCACGACAGCCGGCUGCUCCCACUCUUCCGGUUUGCGUUUCGGAUCAAUGACGGGAGACGAGCGGCGGGGAAAGUUUCUGCCGCGUCUCACACACCCAGCCUGUGACCGCAUGUCUUCUUCGGUGCACGCGGUCCUGCGUGAGCGGUACGUCGCUGGUUUCCGGGCGCUGCACCAGCCUUUCCUCGUGCGCGGCACGCAACAGGUCCACCCCUGA
rnacentral:lncRNA from 1 species